rnacentral:rRNA from 1 species
UACGUAGGGACCGAGCGUUGUCCGGAUUCAUUGGGCGUAAAGAGCUCGUAGGCGGCUGCUCAAGUCGAAUGUGAAAACUCGAGGCUCAACCUCGAGCCUGCAUUCGAUACUGGGCGGCUAGAGUCUGGUAGGGGGAUCUGGAAUUCCUGGUGUAGCGGUGAAAUGCGCAGAUAUCAGGAAGAACACCAAUGGCGAAAGCAGCUCUCUGGGACGGUACUGACGCUGAGACGCGAAAGCGUGGGGAGCGAACAGG